rnacentral:rRNA from 1 species
UACGUAGGUCGCAAGCGUUGUCCGGAUUUACUGGGCGUAAAGAGCGCGCAGGCGGCUGGUCAAGUCCGAUGUGAAAUCUCCCGGCUCAACUGGGAAACUGCAUCGGAAACUGCUCAGCUUGAAGAUGGGAGAGGGUAGUGGAAUUCCCGGUGUAGUGGUGAAAUGCGUAGAUAUCGGGAGGAACACCAGUGGCGAAGGCGACUACCUGGCCCAUUCUUGACGCUGAGGCGCGAAAGCGAGGGGAGCGAACGGG